CGUCUAGGCGGAAUAGCAAGUCAGGUGUGAAAGCCCACGGCUCAACCGUGGAAUUGCACUUGAAACUGCUAAUCUUGAGUACGGAAGAGGAGAGCGGAAUUCCUGGUGUAGCGGUGAAAUGCGUAGAUAUCAGGAAGAACACCGGUGGCGAAGGCGGCUCUCUGGUCCGAUACUGACGCUGAAGCGCGAAAGUGUGGGGAGCGAACAGGAUUAGAUACCCUGGUAGUCC
rnacentral:rRNA from 1 species